rnacentral:misc_RNA from 1 species
AAGUCGUAACAAGGUUUCCGUAGGUGAACCUGCGGAAGGAUCAUUAAAAGUUGCUCGAGGCGGCCCCAGGCAUCGCCAGGUGGCCGCUUAGACAUCAACACCCUCUGUAUAUCUACCGCGUUGCUUUGGCGGGACGGCAGCCAGCAGCCCUGCUGGGAAGCUGUCCGUAGGGCCUCUCCAAGGCCCCGCGAGCGCCCGCCAGAGAACCGUCAAACUCAUGUUAAACCGUGGUGUCUGAGCUUUACAAGCAAUAAGUUAAAACUUUCAACAACGGAUCUCUUGGUUCUC